rnacentral:sRNA from 1 species
ACUGGGCACGGUGGCGCAUGCCUGUAAUCCCAGCAGCUCGGCAGGCUGAGACAGGAGGAUCGAAAGUUCAAAGCCAGGCUCAGCAAAAAGCAAGGCACUAAGCAUUUCAGUAAGACCCUGUCUCUA